rnacentral:misc_RNA from 1 species
GAGAGUGCAGUCUUGUGUGUUCUUGGGGUUUCUGAGGAAAUAUGAACGAACAAAAGAAAAGGUAAGAGAGAGAAGACGAAAGUGAAAAAGUCCAAAUGCUUUUUGGGUGUUGAUUUGCUGCAAUAAAAGCUUAAAGCUUUAAAGCUUAAACCCCACUCCUCCAUAUUGUUUUUACUUUAUACUUUCAUCAGAUCUUUUUCAUAUUUCUAUACUGAAUGUAAGUUGAUGCUUGCUCCUACUUUCUUCCUUGCUCUUCAUUUGUGUAGUGUUUAACCUUUCGACUUCCAGAUUUCAAUCAACCAUUUAAAAAAUGCAUGGAAAAGAUGGGUUCUUCUUCUCAUCUGGCUAUGAAUUUUUCUUUUCUUGGGACGGACAUAAUGGGAGAGAAGUUGCUUUUUCUAAUUUUUUUUUUUCAAAAUUUGUGGUUGUAUUCUUGGGUUGUUAUAAUUGUUAAUUGAAUUGCUUUACAUGCCUACUGUCCACGAGGAAUAAAUUCUCUUUCUCUCUUUGCAUUGCGGCCUAAACACUUUGUUUACUGUUUAGCUCAUUUUUUCUGAAUUAAUGUGCUUUAAUCUGUCUGGAUUCUAUGCUCAUAAAAGAUUGCUUCUUUUUUAUAUAUUUUUUUGUACUUCCUUUUUCCAAUCUCUGCUUUUCCGAGGUGCCUUUCAUUUUCUGAUGGUUUCUUUGGAACGUUUAAGGCAGUAUAUAGCUGGUGCAAGCAAGAGGUUUUGAUGUAGACUGAUGGGUCAUAUUCCAUUUUCACCCUUCUAUUUGGUUAUAAAUAGGGAUGCUCAAUUUUGAUUUCUUCAUCGCAGGAACUCGGCUUAAACCGUUCAUUAAUAAUCAAGUAGUCUGCGAAGUCUGAAUAAUUUGGUUGUGUAUAAUGAGCAACACAACCACUAGUGGUUCUGGUAGUAGAAGUACUAUGAAGACAUUUGAGUUUGGAAGGACCCAUGUGGUCAGGCCUAAAGGACAACACCAGGCUACCAUAGUUUGGCUGCACGGUCUUGGUGACAAGGGCUCAAGCUGGUCCCAGCUCCUGGAA